GGCUGGUUAGCUCAGAUGGUUAGAGCGUGGCGCUAAUAAUGCCAAGGUUGUCGGGUUUGAUCCCCAUACUGGCCU